ensembl:lncRNA
UACAGAAAAGUUACAAGCACCUUGUAGGCCUCCCAAUACAGGCAUUUGAACAGGCACAGCCCUUGCUGCUAAUUGGAGCGGAUCACCCUCACUUGAUUACACCUGUUAAGCCAGUAAGGUUAGGACCCCCAGGAGGACCGGCAGCCUUGAAGACACGAUUAGGGUGGACAUUACAGGGUCCCACCCGACUUGUCGAGCAGUCCAUUCGGCCACAGCAGUGUUUAUUGACCUCGACAAAUCCCCUAGUGGAAGAGCUUUUCAAGAACGUAGAGAAACUGUGGCAAGUGGACGUACUUCCUAUCAAGAAUGAGAAAGAGGUUACCAGGUCACGACAAGAUCAAGAGGCCAUUAACAUGCUUGAAUUAAAGACCAAUCGAGUUAAAGUGGACGGAGUUUUACGUUAUGCCACCCCGCUGCUUAGGCACAAAGAUAUGCCUCUUUUCCAAGCCACAAAGGAAAUGGUAAUGCCCAGCCUCCGGAACACCGAACGGUGCCUCGUUAAAGACCCGGAACGAGCGAAGGCAUACAAUGCUGAAAUUCAGAAACUGACUCAGGCCGGAGUAGUUAGGAAGCUGAACUACCAUGAGAUGACACAAUCAGUUGAAUCAUGGUAUAUUCCACACCACAUGGUGACCCACAAUAGCAAGAAUCGUAUAGUGUUCAACUGCUCUUACCAGUACCGAGGUCUGAACCUAAAUCAGUGGCUGUUACCUGGACCCACCUUAGGACCCUCACUCCUAGGAGUGCUGUUACGAUUUCGAGAGCAUAGUGUAGCCAUAAGUGGUGACGUGAAAGCCAUGUUCCACCAGGUCCGCCUGCUCCCUGAAGAUCGCCCCCUUCUGAGAUUUGUCUGGAGAGACCUGGAAAGAGACCAAAUUCCAUCUGUGUAUGAGUGGCAGGUUUUACCUUUUGGUACGACGUGUAGUCCGUGCUGUGCCACUUACGCCAUGCAGCACCAUGUAAUCAGUCACAGCCAGCCAGAGGAUGAUGUGAGGUUUUCCAUUGAGAAAUGCUUCUACGUUGAUAAUUGUCUGCAAAGCCUCUCCUCACCUGACCAGGCCAGAACCCUGAUAGAUAAGUUAAGGAAGACUUUAGCCUCAGGUGGAUUUGAACUCCGACAGUGGGCCAGCAAUAAGCCGGAUGUCAUCAGUCACCUACCCGAAGAAGCUCGAUCAGACAAUCUGGAACUCUGGCUAGCUCAUGACCGAAUAGAUAACCCUGAAUCUGCUCUUGGCCUCAGCUGGCACUGUUCAACAGAUGAGCUGAGAUACAAACAUCGCCCUGUGAAUUAUGAUGCUCCUACCAUGCGGAACAUCUACAAGGUUUUAGCCAGCCAAUAUGACCCUCUCGGCUUUAUUCUGCCAUACACCACCCGUGCCAAAAUAUUAGUGAGACAACUAUGGGACAAACACAGAGACUGGGACGACCCCCAGCUGCCGCAGGAUUUGCUACAGGCCUGGAGGGAUUGGGAAGGAGAGUUAAAAUUCCUGCCGAGGAUCACGUUCCCCCGAGCAUACGUACCUCCUGCCAUGGAUGAGAGAAGAAUAACUCAUGAGAUACAUGUGUUCUCUGAUGCCUCGGAACAAUCCUAUGGAGCUGUCGCUUACCUGAGGACAGUUGAUACUCAGGGUCAGCCUUAUCUCUCCUUCAUUGUAGCCCGUUCAAGAAUUGCACCUAAACGACUGCACUCAAUGCCCAGACUGGAGCUCUGUGCUGCCCUCACAGGAGCCCAACUCAGUAGAUUGUUAGAACGAGAGCUUACCCUGCCAAUCAGCCGAACUACCCUCUGGACCGAUUCAACCACGGUCUUGUCCUGGUUACACUCUGAGUCAUGUCGAUUUAAAGUUUUCGUUGGCACUCGAGUGGCAGAAAUUCAGGAGCUCACUGAUCGACUUUCAUGGCGAUAUGUUGACUCAGCGAAAAACCCUGCUGAUGACCUCACCAGAGGUAAGAAGCUAGAAGAACUGGCUGAGCCUAACCGAUGGAGCCAUGGGCCACCCUUUCUUCUUCAAAGCCCAGACAAAUGGCCGACCCCACCAACAACAGUAAUAGACGAGUGUCACACAGAACUUCGCAAGUCUAUAUUCUGUGGAGUCACUACGACCAUACCUGACAAGGAGCCUUACCUACCAGAUGUGCAUCAGUACACCACUUGGAGGGAACUUUUGGAGGCAACCGUACAGAAGCUUCAAGGGGCGGCAAGUAACAGCAGAGCUCUGAGCGCUGAUGACUACAGUACAGCCGAGAUUUUUAUCCUAAGAAGGGCACAACAGGAUAGCUUCACAGAGGAGUUCAGCCUACUGCGAAAUGGGAAAACAGUUCAACGUAAUAGCCGUCUACUUACGCUGUCUCCAGAGCUGGACAAGACAGAUGAACUCAUUAAGGUUGGUGGCAGAUUGAGACAAUCUGAAGACUUAGACCCAGCUGCUGUGCAUCCCAUUAUUCUGGAUCACCACCAUCCCACCACUAAGCUUUUGAUCCAAGACUACGAUUCUCGACUCGGCCACCCCGGCCCUGAGAGAGUGUUUGCAGAGAUCCGCCGCAAGUUUUGGAUCUUACGAGGUCGAGAGGCAAUUCGACGAUAUCAGCAUACCUGCACAGACUGUAGACGAUGGAAAUCAAACCCUCAAAUUCCUAAGAUGGCAGACUUACCUAUAGCACGCCUACGCCUUUAUAAGCCAGCAUUUUACUCGACGGGGAUGGACUGUUUCGGGCCCUUUGUAGUUAAGGUGGGCAGGCGGACCGAGAAGAGGUGGGGAAUCAUAUUUAAAUGCCUUACAACCAGAUGUGUACAUCUAGAGAUCCUCACCAGUAUGAAUGCCGACUCCUUCUUAAUGGCCUUGAGGAGG